rnacentral:rRNA from 1 species
GAUGAACGCUGGCGGCGUGCCUAAUACAUGCAAGUCGAGCGAACAGAUGAGGAGCUUGCUCCUCUGACGUUAGCGGCGGACGGGUGAGUAACACGUGGAUAACCUACCUAUAAGACUGGGAUAACUUCGGGAAACCGGAGCUAAUACCGGAUAAUAUAUUGAACCGCAUGGUUCUAUAGUGAAAGGCGGCUUUGCUGUCACUUAUAGAUGGAUCCGCGCCGCAUUAGCUAGUUGGUAAGGUAACGGCUUACCAAGGCAACGAUGCGUAGCCGACCUGAGAGGGUGAUCGGCCACACUGGAACUGAGACACGGUCCAGACUCCUACGGGAGGCAGCAGUAGGGAAUCUUCCGCAAUGGGCGAAAGCCUGACGGAGCAACGCCGCGUGAGUGAUGAAGGUCUUCGGAUCGUAAAACUCUGUUAUUAGGGAAGAACAAAUGUGUAAGUAACUGUGCACGUCUUGACGGUACCUAAUCAGAAAGCCACGGCUAACUACGUG